UACGUAGGGUGCGAGCGUUGCCCGGAUUUAUUGGCGUAAAGGGCGCGUAGGCGGUCACGCACGUCCGUUGUGAAAUCGCUCGGACUCAACUGGGCGGGUCAGCGGAUAACGGCGUGGCUGGAGCAAGCUAGGGGGCAAUGGAAGUUCCCGGUCGUAGUGGUGGAAUGCGUAGAUAUCGGGAGGAACACCAGUGGCGAAGGCGGUUGCCUGGAGCUUUGCUGACGCUGAUGCGCGAAAGCGUGGGGAGCGAGUCCGG
rnacentral:rRNA from 1 species